rnacentral:rRNA from 1 species
GACAGAGGGUGCAAACGUUGCUCGGAAUCACUGGGCGUAAAGGGCGUGUAGGCGGGCAGGAAAGUCAGAUGUGAAAUCCCUGGGCUCAACCCAGGAACUGCAUUUGAAACUCCCUUUCUUGAGUGUCGGAGAGGAAAGCGGAAUUCCUGGUGUAGAGGUGAAAUUCGUAGAUAUCAGGAGAAACACCGGUGGCGAAGGCGGCUUUCUGGACGACAACUGACGCUGAGACGCGAAAGUGUGGGGAGCAAACAGG